AGAGUUUGACCUGGCUCAGGAUGAACGCUAGCGGCAGGCUUAACACAUGCAAGUCGAGGGGUAACAUUGAUGCUUGCAUCAGAUGACGACCGGCGCACGGGUGAGUAACGCGUAUACAAUCUACCUUUAACAGGAGGAUACCCUUUCUUUAGAAAUGAAGAAUAACACUCCAUGGUAAUAUUAAAUCGCAUGAUUUAGUAUUUAAACAUUCAUGGGUUAAAGAUGAGUAUGCGUCCUAUUAGCUAGAUGGUAAGGUAACGGCUUACCAUGGCAACGAUAGGUAGGGGCCCUGAGAGGGGGAUCCCCCACACUGGUACUGAGACACGGACCAGACUCCUACGGGAGGCAGCAGUGAGGAAUAUUGGACAAUGGGCGAGAGCCUGAUCCAGCCAUGCCGCGUGCAGGAAGACGGCCCUAUGGGUCUUAAACUGCUUUUAUACGGGAAGAAAAAAGGGCACGUGUGCCCUACUGACGGUACCGUAAGAAUAAGGACCGGCUAACUCCGUGCCAGCAGCCGCGGUAAUACGGAGGGUCCGAGCGUUAUCCGGAAUUAUUGGGUUUAAAGGGUCCGUAGGCGGGCCAUUAAGUCAGUGGUGAAAGUUUGCAGCUCAACUGUAAAAUUGCCUUUGAUACUGAUGGUCUUGAGUUAUGGUGAAGUUGCCGGAAUAUGUAGUGUAGCGGUGAAAUGCAUAGAUAUUACAUAGAACACCGAUUGCGAAGGCAGGUGACUAACCAUAUACUGACGCUGAUGGACGAAAGCGUGGGGAGCGAACAGGAUUAGAUACCCUGGUAGUCCACGCCGUAAACGAUGGAUACUAGCUGUCCGCUGCCUUGAGCAGUGGGCGGCCAAGCGAAAGUGAUAAGUAUCCCACCUGGGGAGUACGUUCGCAAGAAUGAAACUCAAAGGAAUUGACGGGGGCCCGCACAAGCGGUGGAGCAUGUGGUUUAAUUCGAUGAUACGCGAGGAACCUUACCAGGGCUUAAAUGUAGAUUGACAGGGCUAGAGAUAGCUUUUCCUUCGGGCAAUUUACAAGGUGCUGCAUGGUUGUCGUCAGCUCGUGCCGUGAGGUGUCAGGUUAAGUCCUAUAACGAGCGCAACCCCUGCCGUUAGUUGCCAGCAUGUAAAGAUGGGGACUCUAACGGGACUGCCGGUGCAAACCGUGAGGAAGGUGGGGAUGACGUCAAAUCAUCACGGCCCUUACGUCCUGGGCCACACACGUGCUACAAUGGCCGGUACAGAGAGCAGCCAUGUUGCAAGACAGAGCGAAUCUAUAAAACCGGUCACAGUUCGGAUCGGGGUCUGCAACUCGACCCCGUGAAGCUGGAAUCGCUAGUAAUCGGAUAUCAGCCAUGAUCCGGUGAAUACGUUCCCGGGCCUUGUACACACCGCCCGUCAAGCCAUGGAAGCCGGGAGUGCCUGAAGUCCGUCACCGCAAGGAGCGGCCUAGGGCAAGAUCGGUAACUAGGGCUAAGUCGGAACAAGGUAGCCGUCCCGGAAGGUGCGGCUGGAUCACCUCCUU
rnacentral:rRNA from 1 species